rnacentral:rRNA from 1 species
UACGUAGGGAGCGAGCGUUGUCCGAAUUUACUGGGCGUAAAGCGCGCGUAGGCGGACACUUAAGUUGUGGGUGAAAUGCCGAGGCUUAACCUCGGAACUGCCUGCAAAACUGGGUGUCUUGAGGUAUGGAGAGGGAAGUGGAAUUCCAGGUGUAGCGGUGAAAUGCGUAGAUAUCUGGAGGAACACCCGUGGCGAAGGCGGCUUCCUGGCCAUAUCCUGACGCUGAGGUGCGAAAGCUAGGGGAGCGAAC